rnacentral:rRNA from 1 species
GGGGACCUACGGGAGGCAGCAGUGAGGGAUAUUGGUCAAUGGGGGGAACCCUGAACCAGCAACGCCGCGUGAGGGAAGACGGUUUUCGGAUUGUAAACCUCUGUCCUCUGUGAAGAUAAUGACGGUAGCAGAGGAGGAAGCUCCGGCUAACUACGUGCCAGCAGCCGCGGUAAUACGUAGGGAGCGAGCGUUGUCCGGAUUUACUGGGUGUAAAGGGUGCGUAGGCGGCCCUGCAAGUCAGAAGUGAAAUCCAUGGGCUUAACCCGUGAACGGCUUUUGAAACUGAGGGAUUUGGGGGGAGAAGG